GAAACGCGAUAGUUAAUGUGAAUUGCAGAAUUCAGUGAAUCAUCGAGUCUUUGAACGCACAUUGCGCCCAUAGGUAUUCCUUUGGGCAUGUCUGUUUGAGCGUCAUUACAACCCUCAGCUAACCGCUGGUUUUGAACCUGAACGGGUGACACCGCGCCGGUUUUAAAGUUGUAAGCUCUGCUGGCCGCUCUGCCCAACCAGAACAUAGUAAGCACUACUUGUCCGGGUGAAGCUGAACGGUACGGCCUGAACAAAACCUACCCACUCUCAAGGUUUGACCUCAUAUCAGACAAAGAUACCCGCUGAACUUACGC
rnacentral:misc_RNA from 1 species